UACGUAGGGGCCUAGCGUUGUCCGGAUUUAUUGGGCGUAAAGAGCUCGUAGGCGGCUUGUCGCGUCAACUGUGAAAACCCGUGGCUCAACCAUGUGGUCUGCAGUCGAUACGGGCAGGCUAGAAUUCGGUAGGGGAGACUGGAAUUCCUGGUGUAGCGGUGAAAUGCGCAGAUAUCAGGAGGAACACCGGUGGCGAAGGCGGGUCUCUGGGCCGAUAUUGACGCUGAGGAGCGAAAGCGUGGGGAGCGAACAGG
rnacentral:rRNA from 1 species